UACAGAGGGUGCAAGCGUUGUUCGGAAUUAUUGGGCGUAAAGAGCGUGUAGGCGGCCAAACAGGUCCGUUGUGAAAACUGGAGGCUCAACCUCCAGACGUCGACGGAAACCGUGUGGCUAGAGUCCGGAAGAGGAGAGUGGAAUUCCUGGUGUAGCGGUGAAAUGCGCAGAUAUCAGGAAGAACACCAAUGGCGAAGGCAGCUCUCUGGGACGGUACUGACGCUGAGACGCGAAAGCGUGGGGAGCGAACAGG
rnacentral:rRNA from 1 species